CUAUAAAAGGCUUUGUGGUCUGCUGAAUCUUUUUGCAGAUGGUUCAGGAGAUGGAUGAUGUCGUGUUAUAGAUGACUAUUAUUACUUAGGUGAGCUCUUGUUCAAAUCAGGACAAUAACCAUAUAGUUUAUCCAGCAAUGUGAGGCUGGAGGAAGUAAGUUUUGCAGGCAACACUGUGGGGAACACCGACAGAACUGCGGUUUGCAAGACAGCACCGAAGGCCACCAUGACUCACACAAGUCUCCAAGGGCUGCCAAGCCUUCUCUGCCCAUGGAACUUUGUUCCCAUAUUGUUGCAGGAGCAGCCCUGGAGGUGGGUAAGAGCUGCGUCUCUUUCUUUAUGGGCUUCAAGAUCAGUGGUGCUCACAGACAAGCAUUUCACCUCUCAUGCAUGGGGAAAGGAUGAGACAUUGCCAUGUGGCUAGCAUGUAAUAUGUAAAAAUGAACAACUUCGGCAAUUUCAGCAACCCGUUUCAUAUUUUGAGGCAAUAGUCCCUUUGCAGAAAAGACUUUGUCAUACAGAUCUUAUGAAUAAAGAUUCAUUCCUACCUCUGAAAUGCUGUGCAAUGAUUGGUUUUGGUAUGCCUGUUUAGAUAAUCUUGAAGAGGUAAUUGACAGUAGGCAAAUUUUGUGGUUACUUCCAGCACAAAGCAAUGGCUCUGACAAUGGCAAAAGGGCUGUAUCACUGAUAGUUCUUAAAAUGAGUGGGAAGAAGAAAAUCAGCAUUCUCUUGCAGAAAUGAGUCUUUGGCCAAGAUUUUGUUACUGAAUAAGUGACUGAUGUUGCACAUCAUUUGUUGAUUUUCACCAGUGUAUGUUUUUCUGAGAGUCACAGUAGCACUGGAAGUACCAAGAUAAGAAACAAAAAGUCUGUAAACCUGGGUAACGUUUAAUAGAUCAACUGAUAGAGAUGGAAAAAAGUAAAUUUAAAAAAGUUACACUUGCAAAGAAGCAGCACAGUUUGAACUAAGUACAGUGUGUGGCUAGUUGAUCUGAACUCCUCUUACUGUGAAAUCCAGCCCAUAACUUCAAUAUAAAUUCUCUAGUUCCUCUCAUCAUGAGUGAAGGAAAACAAGACAUAUGGCCCCAAUGAUGCCCUGCAUGGGAUUACUGGAGAACAAGCAAAAUAGGAAUUUGAGUUUGUUUUGUGCUCUUUGAAUUGCAAGUUUUAAAACAAUUUAUCCUACAAUGACAUCUGCUGGCUGUUUGACAGGAAGCUCUUGCAGAAGGAUCCUGCCGGGAGUUGCCUGAGGGUGAAUCUUCCCAUGGCAAUAAUUUGCUGGGGUUCUACUUCUGGGGGGAACUGCAAAUGUAUUAACAAGAUUGAGCACUUUCGCAGUUUAUAAACGUCACACAGUCCCUCACUGUGGCUGAUUGUCUUGUUGGGAAUGAUUUGAUAGGCAAGUAUCCAGCAGAGAAGUCACUGCUGCAUCUGGAAGAUGUGCUGCUUCAUUCUGAGAGUAGCUACUGUUUGGCCCAAGAAUAUGCUGUGACUUGUCAGAGAUCAGAGCAGCUGCAUACCCGUUCUGGCAGCAGAAGUUACAAACACGCUCCAGAGUCAGCGCAUGUCUCUGUUCCAGCCACUGAGCAUCACUGUAGUGGGGUGCUGGGUGCUCUGCAGAGAGUGAUCCCUGGGCUUGUCAGCCAUGUACCAGUGGCAGAGGGGACUAUGCAGAGAUGGAUUCCCUCCCCUAGCCCAAAAAGACAAGGUACAAAUAACCCUCAGCUGUCUCUUUCCUGGAGCUGAACACUGUUGCACUGGCUGGAGAAACUGCAACCCUGCUGCUGGCUGCAGCAAGGUGCCCACUCACGUGUUGGCAAUGUCUGGCUUUUGGCUAACCCAAGAUGGUCUGCAGGGCACACCUGGCUGCCUCCCCUUGCCUCCUGGGUGCCGCUCAGAUCCUCAUGACCAGAGCGUGACCUGUGGUCUUUGGAUGCUUGUGCAAGUCCUUGUGACCAUCGAGGUGGACGCUUCAGAACCUGUGGCUAUCACAGGUGAUCUCCUGGCCACCAGGUGGAACCUACGUUAUGCCUGUCUUCUCAAAAUCCCACUGCCAGCCGCUCCUUUCAGAAACUUGCAUGCAACUGAGCACUUCUGUGGGUUUUUACCCUGCUGGGGUUGUUUGUGCUGGACAGGCUAUGUGGGACAAUCACUGUCCUGUUCAGCAAGACAUCAGGCCAAUAGCACCAGGGGGAACUGGCCAAGCGAAAGCAUUUGCAGACAGCAGCAAGACACGGCGUUUUAAAAUUGGUUUCUCAAAACAGACAUUUGGAGAGGAAACUGUAAGCACACAACUGCAGUGUGGAUGAAGUAACGUGAAUUAUUUUCACAGCCUUUGGUCCAUAUUAAAAUAAUGUGGGCAAAGUAACAAUUAAGCCCUGGCAGCUAUCAGUGCCAAAUAUAGCAUUGCCUUUUAGGGAAGAUAGCAGAGAACUGUUGUGUUUGAUCUCUGAAGGUCUCAGUUAUA